GAUUUAAAAUACUUCUAGGCAGGCAAAAGUCGAUGUGGGAUCGGAAGUUUUUACAAUCAGAACGAAAAAGUAUCGUUAAAAUUUGAGCGAUAAACGUUGCACGUCCUAUAUCAUUUUUACGUAAAAAUGAUAUGCAUGCUUGAGCUGUCGACACUGUGUCAACUACAAUAUUGUCCAAAGGACCACAAGCUGUUGAUAUCGCGACGUCAUAUUUUCCAUCUAUGGCUCCAAGGUCACCCUACGUAUAGGUUUUAGCAUUGGACACUUCUAUUUAAUUAAGUUUUAGAGGAUGAUAUACGAGACGGGAGAAAUCUGGUUGAUGUCUGCUUUAUGACAGGCAUCUUUGUUGUUCAGAAAGUUCAAUAGAAAUUAUUUAAGAUACCUGUCGUAUAGGGACCAAAAUAUUUCUCCUGGUUCAAAAAAUGUUAAAAAGGAUCUAGUAUGUUUUAGAAUGUCAAUGAUUUCAAUUAUUCCAUAAUGUUUAUCGUUGAACAUGUUACGAAUAAAAAUGUCUUUAUACGUGAAAAACAUAA